UACAGAGGGGGCAAGCGUUGUUCGGAAUUACUGGGCGUAAAGGGCGCGUAGGCGGCCUCCUAAGUCGAACGUGAAAUCCCCGGGCUCAACCCGGGAACUGCGUCCGAUACUGGUUGGCUUGAAUUCGGGAGAGGGAUGUGGAAUUCCAGGUGUAGCGGUGAAAUGCGUAGAUAUCUGGAGGAACACCGGUGGCGAAGGCGGCAUCCUGGACCGGUACUGACGCUGAGGUGCGAAAGCGUGGGGAGCAAACAGG
rnacentral:rRNA from 1 species